GGUGAAAAGCACCCCGGAAGGGGAGUGAAAUAGAACCUGAAACCGUGUGCUUACAAGUAGUCAGAGCCCGUUAAUGGGUGAUGGCGUGCCUUUUGUAGAAUGAACCGGCGAGUUACGAUUUGAUGCAAGGUUAAGCAGUAAAUGUGGAGCCGUAGCGAAAGCGAGUCUGAAUAGGGCGUUUAGUAUUUGGUCGUAGACCCGAAACCAGGUGAUCUACCCUUGGUCAGGUUGAAGUUCAGGUAACACUGAAUGGAGGACCGAACCGACUUACGUUGAAAAGUGAGCGGAUGAACUGAGGGUAGCGGAGAAAUUCCAAUCGAACCUGGAGAUAGCUGGUUCUCUCCGAAAUAGCUUUAGGGCUAGCCUCAAGUGAUGAUUAUUGGAGGUAGAGCACUGUUUGGACG
rnacentral:rRNA from 1 species